GGCACGGUGGUGCAGUGGGUAGCACUGUCGCCUCACAGCCAGAAGGUUGUGGGUUCGAAUCCCGGCCUGGGCCU
rnacentral:tRNA from 1 species